UACAGAGGGAUGCUACCGGGCGACCGGAUGCGGAUCUCGAAAGCCUGUCCCAGUUCGGACUGGAGUCUGCAACCCGACUCCACGAAGUUGGAUUCGCUAGUAAUCGCGCAUCAGCCAUGGCGCGGUGAAUACGUCCCCGGGCCUUGUACACACCGCCCGUCAAGCCAUGGGAGCCGGGGGCGCCUGAAGUCCGGGACCGCGAGGACCGGCCUAGGGCGAAACUGGUAACUGGGGCUAAGUCGUAACAAGGUACC
rnacentral:rRNA from 1 species